GGUUGUGUCGCCAGACGCAUUGCCCGGUAGCUAAGUUCGGAAUUGAUAAGCGCUGAAAGCAUCUAAGCGCGAAGCGAGCCCUGAGAUGAGUCUUCCCUGAUACUUUAAGUAUCCUAAAGGGUUGUUCGAGACUAGAACGUUGAUAGGCAGGGUGUGUAAGCGUUGUGAGGCGUUGAGCUAACCUGUACUAAUUGCCCGUGAGGCUUAACCA
rnacentral:rRNA from 1 species